rnacentral:rRNA from 1 species
UUGAACGCUGGCGGUAUGCUUAACACAUGCAAGUCGAACGGAAACGAUACUAGCUUGCUAGUAGGCGUCGAGUGGCGGACGGGUGAGUAACGCGUAGGAAUCUGCCUGAUAGUGGGGGAUAGCCCGAAGAAAUUCGGAUUAAUACCGCAUAAUCUAUUCGUAGUAAAGUGGGGGACUUUCGAGCCUCACGCUAUCAGAUGAGCCUGCGUAAGAUUAGCUUGUUGGUAGGGUAAAAGCCUACCAAGGCGACGAUCUUUAGCUGGUCUGAGAGGAUGAUCAGCCACAUCGGGACUGAGACACGGCCCGAACUCCUACGGGAGGCAGCAGUGGGGAAUAUUGGACAAUGGGGGCAACCCUGAUCCAGCAAUACCGCGUGUGUGAAGAAGGCCUGAGGGUUGUAAAGCACUUUCAAUUGUGAAGAAAAGUUAGCGGUUAAUAACCGUUAGCCUUGACGUUAACUUUAGAAGAAGCACCGGCUAACUCCGUGCCAGCAGCCGCGGUAAUACGGAGGGUGCAAGCGUUAAUCGGAAUUACUGGGCGUAAAGCGUGCGUAGGCGGUUUAUUAAGUCAGAUGUGAAAGCCCCGGGCUUAACCUGGGAACUGCAUUUGAAACUGGUCAACUAGAGUAUGGUAGAGGAAAGUGGAAUUUCUGGUGUAGCGGUGAAAUGCGUAGAUAUCAGAAGGAACAUCAAUGGCGAAGGCAGCUUUCUGGACCAAUACUGACGCUGAGGUACGAAAGCGUGGGUAGCAAACAGGAUUAGAUACCCUGGUAGUCCACGCCGUAAACGAUGAUAACUAGCCGUUGGGGGGAUUUACCCUUUAGUGGCGAAGCUAACGCGUUAAGUUAUCCGCCUGGGGAGUACGGCCGCAAGGUUAAAACUCAAAGGAAUUGACGGGGACCCGCACAAGCGGUGGAGCAUGUGGUUUAAUUCGAUGCAACGCGAAGAACCUUACCUGGUCUUGACAUCCUGCGAACUUUCUAGAAAUAGAUCGGUGCCUUCGGGAACGCAGUGACAGGUGCUGCAUGGCUGUCGUCAGCUCGUGUCGUGAGAUGUUGGGUUAAGUCCCGUAACGAGCGCAACCCCUAUCCUUAUUUGCCAGCACAUCAUGGUGGGAACUAUAAGGAGACUGCCGGUGAUAAACCGGAGGAAGGCGGGGACGACGUCAAGUCAUCAUGGCCCUUACGACCAGGGCUACACACGUGCUACAAUGGGAAGGACAAAGAGCCGCGAAGCCGCGAGGUGUAGCUAAUCUCAUAAACCUUUUCGUAGUCCGGAUUGGAGUCUGCAACUCGACUCCAUGAAGUCGGAAUCGCUAGUAAUCGUAGAUCAGAAUGCUACGGUGAAUACGUUCCCGGGUCUUGUACACACCGCCCGUCAAGGG